GGGCUUUUGCCAGCGCUCGAAUUUCCAGAACAAAGCAGCGUCUCAUCUGCCCCGAGGGGAUCAGUGGCGGCGCUGAAAGCGGAGUAACCGGUUGCUGCCUGUCGGCCGGGAGAGUGCCGCCCCGCGGGGAGGGAAGAGGCGACCCCCUCACCCCGCCCUGCAGCUGAUGUUGCCCGGCUCCCCCCUCCGCGCCCACCGGCGGCGGCCCAUGGCCCGGCCGAGGCAGCUGAGUGACCCCCCAGCGUGAGGAAGAUGGAUCUGAAGAGCAGCCCCGAAGACAAGUUCUAUUUCGUCCAGAUCAUCUUCUUCGUCCUCGGCGUGGGAGUUUUGCUCCCAUGGAAUUUCUUCAUAAACUCUAUUCCCUACUUUGAGGACCGGCUUUCCGGAAACACCUCUGCUCCCAGCAACGGGACGGAACCGGCCGUUGACGACUGGCGCUUUGCGAACUGGAUGACCCUGCUCUCGAUGCUCCCCUGCUUCUGUUUACGUGCCUGAACUCCAUCCUGUACCCCAGGAUCUCUCAGAAUAUCCGGAUUGCCGGCAGCUUGUUUGGGAUUCUGAUCCUCUUCAUGCUGACAACGGUGCUGGUGAAGAUAACAAUAGAUCCCCUUUCCUUCUUCGCUGUUACCAUGUCUACAAUAUGGUUCAUCAACUGUGAGUACCCAGGACACGUGGCUCUGGUGGUUUGGGUU